AUGAACGCUGGCGGCGUGCCUAAUACAUGCAAGUCGAGCGAACAGACGAGGAGCUUGCUCUUCUGACGUUAGCGGCGGACGGGUGAGUAACACGUGGAUAACCUACCUAUAAGACUGGGAUAACUUCGGGAAACCGGAGCUAAUACCGGAUAAUAUAUUGAACCGCAUGGUUCAAUAGUGAAAGACGGUUUUGCUGUCACUUAUAGAUGGAUCCGCGCCGCAUUAGCUAGUUGGUAAGGUAACGGCUUACCAAGGCAACGAUGCGUAGCCGACCUGAGAGGGUGAUCGGCCACACUGGAACUGAGACACGGUCCAGACUCCUACGGGAGGCAGCAGUAGGGAAUCUUCCGCAAUGGGCGAAAGCCUGACGGAGCAACGCCGCGUGAGUGAUGAAGGUCUUCGGAUCGUAAAACUCUGUUAUUAGGGAAGAACAAAUGUGUAAGUAACUAUGCACGUCUUGACGGUACCUAAUCAGAAAGCCACGGCUAACUACGUG
rnacentral:rRNA from 1 species